CCUGUAGGAAUACCCUAUCUUGUUUAUAAGAGAUUUGAUACAUGCAAAAUAUUCGAAAACAAUGUCCGAACAUAUAAUUUUUGCCCCGUAAUAUAGAAAAGAUCACAAAAAAGUCCAAAAAAGUACAUUUAGGUCAAAAUUUGAGCAGAA
rnacentral:sRNA from 1 species